rnacentral:piRNA from 1 species
UCAGAGGGGCAUAAUUUGUCACUAGGACGA